AAGGUCAAUUGGAUCUGCCGACAUGUGUUGCUGAUUUUGUAACAUGAAAGCCAGCUAGAAAGAACAGUGGCUGUGAUAGAAGCUGGGGCUACAUCAGAUUCUAUGCCAGGGUGCCUGUCUUACAAGCUAAAUGUGGAGGCAGAACCUGCAUUCAAAAAGCUUGGGUAGCAGUGGAGGAAGGAGGUUGGAGUAAAGAUCUGAUGGACGGACAGCAGUCCAGAUGCAAUAAAGGAAUUUACUCUUUUAUAAUUGUAGAAAUGAAUAUAAAAAUAAAAUUCUAUGUGUGCCUGGUUAAUGCUACUAUCAUUUCACCUCAGAAAACUGCAUAUUAAUUAGAGGGAAUGCUAUGUUCCUAUAAAAAAGGAGGUCCAACAAUCUUCUUUUUUUAAAAAUUGGCACCUGAGCUAACAACUGUUGCCAAUCUUCUUUUUUUUUUUCUGCUUUUUAUCCCCAAAUCCCCCCAGUACAUAGUUGUAUAUCUUAGUUGCAGGUCCUUCUAGUUGUGGCAUGUGGGA
rnacentral:lncRNA from 1 species